rnacentral:rRNA from 1 species
UAGUUGCCAUCAGGUAAAGCUGGGAACUCUCGGGGAGACUGACCCGGGUGGAGUUAAAACCCGGGAGGAAGGCCGGGGAUGACGUCAAGUCCUCAUGGCCCUUACAUCCCGGGCUACACACGUGCUACAAUGGCAGGUACAGAGGGCUGCGAAGCCGCGAGGUGGAGCGAAUCCCAGAAAACCUGUCUCAGUCCGGAUUGAAGUCUGCAACUCGACUUCAUGAAGGCGGAGUCGCUAGUAACCGCGAAUCAGCAGGUCGCGGUGAAUACGUUCCCGGGCCUU